AACGAACGCUGGCGGCAGGCUUAACACAUGCAAGUCGAACGCCCCGCAAGGUGAGUGGCAGACGGGUGAGUAACGCGGGGGAAUCUACCGUACCCUACGGAACAACAGUUGGAAACGACUGCUAAUACCGUAUACGCCCUACGGGGGAGAGAUUUAUCGGGGUAUGAUGAGUCGGCGUGGGAUUAGCUAGUUGGUGGGGGAAAGGCCUACCAAGGCGACGAUCCGUAGCUGGUCUGAGAGGAUGAGCAGCCACAUUGGGACGGAGACACGGACCAGACUGCGACGGGAGGCAGCAGUGGGGAAUAUUGGACGAUGGGCGCAAGCUUGAUGCAGCCAUGCCGCGUGAAUGAUGAAGGUCUGAGGAUUGUAAAGCUCCUUCACCGAUGAAGAUAAUGACGGUAGUCGGGGAAGAAGCCCCGGCUAACUUCGUGCCAGCAGCCGCGGUAA
rnacentral:rRNA from 1 species